UGCCUUACCCAGAAGAAUUUCAAUUAUUUUUAUGGUAUAAAAUUAUGCACACAUUAGAAGAUUUUUCCCCUAGUGCUUCUCUUGUGUCAGUAACCAAAGCUUGUGUGAAAGUAUCAAAGCAAGCAGGUUGAGGAGGAUACCACGAUAUCCUAAAGUAUAGGAGUUCAAUUAGUCGACCUUCAGGCUCUCUAGAGCUGGGAGAUUGUUUAUUCAACUUAUAAGUUGGAUCCAACUGCUCUGCUUGCAUGCUUGUGCUAAUAGUUGGGUGCAACUCUAUGAUUCUCACAUAAUUGACGAUUCUAUUAAUUUGCGCAGCUGGGAGUUUGGGUCACUAACAGAUGUAAAGCAUCCCCUCUGAUGGGCGAUAUAGUAAGCAUAACCUGUGGAUUUGUUUUUAAAAAAACAACCCCCUCCCAAUCCCUCUUUCUCUGUUUGCAUAGUAAACAUGAAAUGUAGUAUGCGGGAUCUCAGAGUUUGUAUUUGACAUGUUCCAUUAUGCUCAACUAGUGAAUAUGCAAUCAAUUUUACUUGCUACAAGGUUUGUGGCAAUGUGUUGGCUAUUA